rnacentral:lncRNA from 10 species
GGGCUUUAAUUAAUUUAUUAAUUUUCCUCUAGUACUCAUCUGUAAUCUUGGUCACAGAUGGCGUUACUGAAACACCACGGGUUCGGUCUAAGACCUGCUGCUCACCAUACAGCCAGCCAAUCACUGAGACAACACGUAUUGCCAAGGAAAAAUGCUUUAAUCAGGCACUGUAGCCAAGGAUCAGUCUCAAAUCCAUCUCCCUGAUUAAAAUUAGGAGUUUUUACAGCAGAGAAGAAAUGUAACAAUGUAUGGGAAAACAGGAAGUUGGGAGGGCUAAGGAAGUAAUCUGAUGAAUGAGAGGCCUGGUGUCUCACUGUCUGAAUUCUACGAUCUGGUGAGUUUCAGUUCUUUGAUACUUUUUGAGAGGCCUGGGGGUCCUUUCCUGAGGAAGGAACUCAGAUAAAACAAAUACAAGUUUAAAGCUUUAGGACCAGAAGGGUCAAUUUCUAUGUUUAUCCAAAAACAAGCAAACAAACAAACAAAACUGUCUGUGGGACUGUUGGGUCAGUUUCAGAGGUAAUUUCUUGAAGGCUCCUUUCUUUAUUCUUGCUGUCUAUCCUCCACCUACAGGCCGGCAUGCUAAAUGAUAGUUUGUGGAAUAAACGAAGAAGGUAAAUUCAUUUAUUCCACAAACAAUCAUUUAGCACGUCCAGUGUGCAUGUCUAAACUAUCUGCACUGCCUAGGCUUGAAGGAACAUAGAGUAUGGUUAAUGGUAAUAUGAUUAUUAAAAGACUUUAUUUUAGCCUAGUUUUUCACACCAGACCUUUACACACAGUAGCAUUAUUUGGCUAUUUUUUUUUUCUUUUCUUUUUCCUUAUUCCAUCAUUGGUGUCUGAAAUUUGGCUAUUUAUAAAUGUUAAAUUUAGUUUUCCACUUAAACCUUUGAGUUCCAAUAACUAAUGGAGGUAAUAUGAAGAAGAAAAUAAGUUAAACUCAAUUAUAAGAAAGGAAGCAGAAUAACUUAAUCACAAACUAGGCACACACUCCUGAAAAUCUAAAGUGAUCGUUUAGUAUAAAAUCUAGAUUCAAAACUCUAUUCUUCUUGGAUCACAAACCUCUUUGAAAAUCUAAGGAAAGCUAAAGACCCUGUAGCAGGCAGCUUCUGACAGGACUCCCAAUAAUACCCACCUCUUCAUAUUCCCAGUCCUGUUUAAUCUCCUUCCCUUGAGUUCUGGCUGGACUUAGCAACUUGCUUCUAAUGAGAAGAAUGUGACAAAAGUGAAGGGAUGUCUCUUGUGUUAUUACAUCACCAAAGACUAUGACUUCUGUUUUACUAGUGCUGUCUCUUGCCCUCCUACUUGCUCUCCUUUUAUGAAGCAAGCUACCUUGUGUGAGAUGCCCCAUGAAGAGGUCCAUGUGUCAAGGAAGCAAAGGAGGCCUCCAGCCAACAGCUCACAAGAAACUGAGGCCAAGAACCCACAAGGAACUGAAUCCUGCCAACAAACAGGUGGGCUAGGAAGUGAAUCUUCCCCAGUCACCUUGAGAUGACUGCAGCCCUGUGAGAGGCAAAGCUACAGGACCAGGCUAGGCGGCAGCUGGAUUCCCAACCCACAGAAACUGUGAGACAAUACAUGAAUAUUGUUUUAAGCUGCUAAAUUUGGCAUAAUUUGUUAUACAGAAACAGAUUAACUACAACAAAUCCCCUCUUUAGGAAAGUAUGUAUGUGUACAAAUUCUAGUACACAUUUUAGGGAAUCUUGAAGUCUCUCUGAAGUUCA